rnacentral:rRNA from 1 species
GACGGGCCCCGCACAAGCAGCGGAGCGUGUGGUUUAAUUCGAUGCUACACGAAGAACCUUACCAGGGUUUGACAUGCAAGUGGUAGGAAUCUGAAAAGGGACCGACCUUCGGGAGCUUGCACAGGUGCUGCAUGGCUGUCGUCAGCUCGUGUCGUGAGAUGUUCGGUUAAGUCCGCUAACGAGCGCAACCCUCACUGUGUGUUAUAUGUGUCACACGGGACUGCCGGUUUUAAGCCGGAGGAAGGUGGGAUGACGUCAAGUCAGCAUGGCCUUUAUAUCCUGGGCUACACACACGCUACAAUGGUCGGUACAAUAGGUUGCCAAGCCGCGAGGCGGAGCCAAUCCACAAAGCCGGCCUCAGUUCAGAUUGUAGGCUGCAACUCGCCUGCAUGAAGAUGGAGUUGCUAGUAACCGCAGGUCAGCAAUACUACGGUGAAUACGUUCCCGGGUCUU